rnacentral:ncRNA from 1 species
AAGCUUGGUCCUGGCUUUACUGUCGGCUUUUACCAGAUUUACACAUGCAAGUCUCCGCACCCCUGUGAGAAUGCCCUUAAUCUCCCAUCCGGAAACGAGGAGCCGGCAUCAGGCGCGCCUAUUCGGCAGCCCAAGACGCCUUGCUUCGCCACACCCCCAAGGGAUUUCAGCAGUGAUAGACAUUAAGCAAUAAGUGAAAACUUGACUUAGUUAAGGUAAAUUAGGCCCGGUAAAACUCGUGCCAGCCACCGCGGUUAUACGAGAGGUCCAAGUUGAUAGACAUCGGCGUAAAGAGUGGUUACGGACAAUUCCCUCGCUAAAGUCGAACACCCCCCAAGCUGUCAUACGCACUCGGGGGUCUGAAGCUCCGCCACGAAAGUGACUUUAUACCCACCCCGAACCCACUACAGCUAUGAAACAAACUGGGAUUAGAUACCCCACUAUGCAUGGCCUUAAAUUUUGGUGGUGCCUCACACCCACCACCCGCCCGGGAACUACAAGCACCAGCUUAAAACCCAAAGGACUUGGCGGUGCUUCAGACCCAUCUAGAGGAGCCUGUUCUAGAACCGAUACCCCCCGUUUAACCUCACCACCCCUGGCCGUUCCCGCCUAUAUACCGCCGUCGUCAGCUUACCCUUUGAGGGUCCCGAAGUAAGCAAAGCAAGUACAACCCAAAACGUCAGGUCGAGGUGUAGCGCAUGAGGUGGGAAGAAAUGGGCUACAUUCUCUGCCCCAGAGUAUACGAAAGGUGCAAUGAAAUAAGCACCCGAAGGAGGAUUUAGCAGUAAGAAAGAACGAGAGUGUCUUUCUGAAACUGGCUCUGAAGCAUGCACACACCGCCCGUCACUCUCCCCAAACUUUUCAUCCAUUAGCUUAUUAAGAAGUUCUUAAGUCAAGGGGAGGCAAGUCGUAACAAGGUAAGUGUACCGGAAGGUGCACUUGGAAUAAAC